UACGGAGGGUGCAAGCGUUGCUCGGAAUUAUUGGGCGUAAAGCGCACGUAGGCGGUCUCGUAAGUCGGGUGUGAAAGCCCGGGGCUCAACCCCGGAAGUGCACUCGAAACUGCAAGGCUUGAGUACGGAAGAGGGUCUCGGAAUUCCCGGUGUAGAGGUGAAAUUCGUAGAUAUCGGGAGGAACACCAGUGGCGAAGGCGGAGACCUGGGCCGAUACUGACGCUGAGGAGCGAAAGCGUGGGGAGCGAACAGG
rnacentral:rRNA from 1 species